rnacentral:rRNA from 1 species
UAGGGAAUCUUCCGCAAUGGGCGAAAGCUUGACGGAGCAACGCCGCGUGAGUGAUGAAGGUCUUCGGAUCGUAAAACUCUGUUAUUAGGGAAGAACAAAUGUGUAAGUAACUAUGCACGUCUUGACGGUACCUAAUCAGAAAGCCACGGCUAACUACGUGCCAGCAGCCGCGGUAAUACGUAGGUGGCAAGCGUUAUCCGGAAUUAUUGGGCGUAAAGCGCGCGUAGGCGGUUUUUUAAGUCUGAUGUGAAAGCCCACGGGUCAACCGUGGAGGGUCAUUGGAAACUGGAAAACUUGAGUGCAGAAGAGGAAAGUGGAAUACCAUGUGUAGCGGUGAAAUGCGCAGAGAUAUGGAGGAACACCAGUGGCGAAGGCGACUUUCUGGUCUGUAACUGACGCUGAUGUGCGAAAGCGUGGGGAUCAAACAGG